CCAGUGCCACUGUCCCACUGUCACGACAUCCCAGUGUCAUGAUAUCCUCAUGUCGUGACAUCCCAGUGCCACUGUCCUGGUGUCACGAUGUCCUCAUGUUGUGACAUCCCCGCGCCACUGUCCCACUGUCCCGACAUCCCGGUGUCCCGAUGUCGUGACAUCCCUGUGCCAUUGUCCCACUGUCACGACAUCCCAGUGCCAUUGUCCCAGUGUCACGACAUCGCAGCGUCACGAUGUCCCCAUGUUGUGACAUCCCAGUGUCACAAUGUCCUGGUGUCACGACGUCCUGGUGUCACGAUGUCCCCAUGUCGUGACAUCCCAGUGUCACAAUGUCCCCAUGUCGUGACAUCCCAGUGCCAUUGACCCACUGUCACGACAUCCCAGUGCCAUUGUCCCAGUGUCAUGACAUCCCAGUGUCACGAUGUCCCCAUGUCGUGACAUCCCCGUGCCAUUAUCCCACCACCACCACACCCCCCUGUCACGACAUCCCCCCGCCCCCCCCCCCCGCGGCCCCCCCCGCCCCCCCGGGGGGCAGCAGGCGACAGGCGGUGACGGUGCCCAGGGUGGCGGCGACGGCGGCGAGGUCGCGACGGGCCAGGCGCAGGCAGUGAGCGGCAGCGGCCGCCCCUGCCUGCG
rnacentral:lncRNA from 1 species